rnacentral:lncRNA from 1 species
CGGUGGCCUUGGCCCAUUAAUCAAUAAACAAGGCUCCUAGGCUUGACCUAGUCGUCGACUCGGACCUGUCAGAGUCAAGGCAGCCGCGUAGACCACUCCUGAGACAGGGCGGGAGAACAUCGUUUGUCCUAGAGUUUUGCUAGCAUCUUUUUCAAAGUGAUCUUAACUUGCUCUUUAUGUCAGAACUCCCUGGACUUCUGACCUUUCACUACAGAAACUUGUGAUCUACAGUUGCCAGAGACGUAAACACACUUUAGGGUAUCAUCUACAUUAAACCCAGAGCUCUUCUCUGCUUGCUCUAAAAUGCUGAGGUACUGGGGAGAGAUCCCAAUACCAUCAGGACAGACCAACAGAAGUUCCUUUGAUCUGCUGCCUCGGGAGUUCCGUCACAGCUAAACCUAACAAAGUCAGAUUUCAGAACUAUUUUUGCUACUCAAGCCUCUUAUAAAAUGAGAGCCUAUGGUGACAGCACUCAUCCUAAGACAGCUGUCCCCAGGAGUCUUUUUUUUCUAGAUUAUUCCAGCCAGCCUCAUCAUCCUUACUCUCUUAUGCUCUUCGGCUGGCACAGACUUUUACAUAUUUUUCACCAUGCACAUUUCCAGCUGUUCCUUUCCUCCUUUGUGAUGGCAGCAAACAGGACCUGCCACGGCUGCUGGACGGGCAGCAUCUGGCUCUGUUUCAGGAUAACUGUUGGUUUGUUUGUUUGUUUGUUUUUGCUGUUUUGUUUAAAAAAGAAAAAAAAGGGCAUUUGAGGAGCCAGAGAGAUGGCUCAGUGGGCAUCUUGCAACUUAAGUGUGAUCCGGGGGACCCACAUGGUGUAAGGAGAGAGCCAGCUCCUCCAUACAUGCCAUGGUGCAUGCAUGGGCACACACACACACACGUAAAAAUAAAUUAUUUUUGGAAAAAGUC